UACGUAGGGGGCAAGCGUUGUCCGGAUUUAUUGGGCGUAAAGAGCGUGUAGGCGGCUGGGUAGGUCCGUUGUGAAAACUCGAGCUCAACCUCGAGACGCCGAUGGAAACCCUCCAGCUAGAGUCCGGAAGAGGAGAGUGGAAUUCCGGGUGUAGCGGUGGAAUGCGUAGAGAUCCGGAAGAACACCGGUGGCGAAGGCGGCCUGACUGGGCAGUGACCGUAAGGUCUUAAAAGCUGGACGCUGAGGCGACGACAGCGUGGGGAGGCAACAGG
rnacentral:rRNA from 1 species